CUUUUGUAUAAUGGGUCAGCGACUUAUAUUCCUGUAGCAAGGUUAACCGUACUAGGGAGCCGCAGGGAAACCGAGUCUUAACUGGGCGUUAAGUUGCAGGGUAUAGACCCGAAACCCGGUGAUCUAGCCAUGGGCAGGUUGAAGGUUGGGUAACACUAACUGGAGGACCGAACCGACUAAUGUUGAAAAAUUAGCGGAUGACUUGUGGCUGGGGGUGAAAGGCCAAUCAAACCGGGAGAUAGCUGGUUCUCCCCGAAAGCUAUUUAGGUAGCGCCUCGUGAACUCAUCUUCGGGGGUAGAGCACUGUUUCGGCUAGGGGGCCAUCCCGGCUUACCAACCCGAUGCAAACUGCGAAUACCGAAGAAUGUUAUCACGGGAGACACACGGCGGGUGCUAACGUCCGUCGUGAAGAGGGAAACAACCCAGACCGCCAGCUAAGGUCCCAAAGUCAUGGUUAAGUGGGAAACGAUGUGGGAAGGCCCAGACAGCCAGGAUGUUGGCUUAGAAGCAGCCAUCAUUUAAAGAAAGCGUAAUAGCUCACUGGUCGAGUCGGCCUGCGCGGAAGAUGUAACGGGGCUAAAACCAUGCACCGAAGCUGCGGCAGCGACGCUCAGGCGUUGUUGGGUAGGGGAGCGUUCUGUAAGCCGUUGAAGGUGGCCUGUGAGGGCUGCUGGAGGUAUCAGAAGUGCGAAUGCUGACAUAAGUAACGAUAAUGCGGGUGAAAAACCCGCACGCCGGAAGACCAAGGGUUCCUGUCCAACGUUAAUCGGGGCAGGGUGAGUCGACCCCUAAGGCGAGGCUGAAAAGCGUAGUCGAUGGGAAACAGGUUAAUAUUCCUGUACUUGGUGUUACUGCGAAGGGGGGACGGAGAAGGCUAUGUCAUCCGGGCGACGGUUGUCCCGGUUUAAGCGUGCAGGUGGGUGGACCAGGCAAAUCCGGUCUGCUGUAACACUGAGGCGUGAUGACGAGGCACUACGGUGCUGAAGUGACAGAUGCCCUGCUUCCAGGAAAAGCCUCUAAGCAUCAGGUAACAUUGAAUCGUACCCCAAACCGACACAGGUGGUCAGGUAGAGAAUACUCAGGCGCUUGAGAGAACUCGGGUGAAGGAACUAGGCAAAAUGGUGCCGUAACUUCGGGAGAAGGCACGCUGGGCACGGUGAAGUCCCUCGCGGACGGAGCUGAGCCCAGUCGCAGAUACCAGCUGGCUGCAACUGUUUAAUAAAAACACAGCACUGUGCAAACACGAAAGUGGACGUAUACGGUGUGACGCCUGCCCGGUGCCGGAAGGUUAAUUGAUGGGGUUAUCCGCAAGGAGAAGCUCUUGAUCGAAGCCCCGGUAAACGGCGGCCGUAACUAUAACGGUCCUAAGGUAGCGAAAUUCCUUGUCGGGUAAGUUCCGACCUGCACGAAUGGCGUAAUGAUGGCCAGGCUGUCUCCACCCGAGACUCAGUGAAAUUGAACUCGCUGUGAAGAUGCAGUGUACCCGCGGCAAGACGGAAAGACCCCGUGAACCUUUACUAUAGCUUGACACUGAACCUUGAGCCUUGAUGUGUAGGAUAGGUGGGAGGCUUUGAAGUGUGGACGCCAGUCUGCAUGGAGCCAACCUUGAAAUACCACCCUUUAAUGUUUGAUGUUCUAACGUGGACCCGUAAUCCGGGUUGCGGACAGUGUCUGGUGGGUAGUUUGACUGGGGCGGUCUCCUCCCAAAGCGUAACGGAGGAGCACGAAGGUUAGCUAAUCCUGGUCGGACAUCAGGAGGUUAGUGCAAAGGCAUAAGCUAGCUUGACUGCGAGAGUGACGGCUCGAGCAGGUGCGAAAGCAGGUCUUAGUGAUCCGGUGGUUCUGAAUGGAAGGGCCAUCGCUCAACGGAUAAAAGGUACUCCGGGGAUAACAGGCUGAUACCGCCCAAGAGUUCAUAUCGACGGCGGUGUUUGGCACCUCGAUGUCGGCUCAUCACAUCCUGGGGCUGAAGUAGGUCCCAAGGGUAUGGCUGUUCGCCAUUUAAAGUGGUACGCGAGCUGGGUUUAGAACGUCGUGAGACAGUUCGGUCCCUAUCUGCCGUGGGCGCUGGAAGAUUGAGGGGGGUUGCUCCUAGUACGAGAGGACCGGAGUGAACGCACCGCUGGUGUUCGGGUUGUCAUGCCAAUGGCACUGCCCGGUAGCUACGUGCGGAAGAGAUAACCGCUGAAAGCAUCUAAGCGGGAAACUUGCCCCGAGAUGAGUCUUCCCUGGG
rnacentral:rRNA from 1 species